CGACGCUCACACACGCACACGCACACGCACACCCACACCCACACACACACACACACACACACACACACAGAAGAUGGUGUAUAAUUGUAAUGAUCUAUGAUGUGCCCACUGUAAACAACCCUGCAGUGCAAAGAGCUCAUUGUAAAUUAAAGGAAUAGAGAUGGAAAGGGACGCAUUCCUUUUAGAUUAAACAUCUGCCUUUUCUUUGAAGUCAUUUAUGCAAAGAAAACAAUUGUGAACAUUAAAAGUGAAUCUGCAGUAGCACACAAAUGAGACAUGCCAGCAGAAUACACAUUUAGGUUAAGAGAACAUUAAAUCAGAUGAACAUCCCUUGUGGCUUGUCCCAAACCUUUGUUUGUGUCAUGACCUGUCAGCUACUCCCUCCUCCCCCCCUCCUUCCUGUGUUUGACGCGACCAGCUGGAUCCACUUACCUCAUCUACACCUGCCUUCAUAAACUCCUCCAGGAUCAUCAGCCGGUGCCAGUUCGUUGUUCCUCCUAUGGACGUAAACCUUCUGGAUCCUCACCUGGUCGCAGUUCUCCAACGCUGCAGUCACGCCGCUUCAAGAAACCUCCAGCCAGCCGUCUCUCCUCGCCUUGGUUCAAGCUUCGCCUACGCCGUCUCUAGUAGCCUCCAGCCAGCCGCCUAGCCUCGUCUUGGUUCAAGCUUCGCCUACGCCGUCUCUAGUAGCCUCCAGCCAGCCGCCUAGCCUCGUCUUGGUUCAGCCUCGCUCCCGCCGCUGUUCCCCCUCAAGGAGAUCCCAGUUCAAGGUUCCUCCAGCCAGGCCACGCUCUCUCUUCCUGGAAGGAAGUCCUGUCAAGUUCUGGUUCUGAUUAAACCACUGAAAUCUUA